GAUUCAUCAGCCGCCUUAGUUUUCACUUGAGCGGAAAAUAACGGCCGCUACGCGCGGUUCCUGCCUGCGGGGCUCGAGCGCGCGUUCCCGAAGGCCACGGCUUUAAGAGCAUCCUACACACCAAGACGAAACUCCGUGGCUUUAAGACUUGCCUGGUAAGGACCACCAUUACUUUGUUGCUUUUGUUGAAAGGUAGUGGGGGCGGGGAGGGGUGUCUUUCUAUGAGUCUGGGAAAAUACAGGCUGCCUUUUCUCAGGGAGGGGAUUGUCACAGGUUUCUGUGCAAAGACAGAAUCCUUACGUGAACUCCCCUAUAUUCGGAUGGUUGCGAUGGACUUUGGAAGGUGACCUGGGAUUCAGGUCUUCUGGGUGGGAUGAACUUGUAUUCAGCGGUUAUGGCCCCUGAUGCCCGAGUGGAGCCACCAGUCGAACUGACCCUAUGAGGCAUCUGAACUGUGGUGAUUUGGGACUAACGAGCUGGGGUCGCUGGAAGCCAAGUGACCCUUUGUGCGUACCACCUGUAGUCACUUUCCCUGACACUCCUAUGCGAUUCCGUGGGCUGGCCUAAAGUUGGGGGACAUCUGUCCCAGAGAAAUGUCACCCCUGUCAUCCCUGCCCCAAGAUGUCAAGCUCAGGACAGGAGUGGUUUUCCCUACACAGAAACUCCUAGAAACUUGUUUAGUACAGAAGAAUGUUGCAGGCCCAUGAUUCUUGU
rnacentral:lncRNA from 1 species